GGAGAGCAGAACAAAGACAUUAGGACUGCAAGGAUGCUGCAUGCAACAAUCUUUGGCUAGCAUUAAGCAUGGUUACAGGAAUGAAAAGAAGGCCAGCUAUUUCCCAGGGGGCCACCCAGGGUUGAGCUUGCACCUGAAUAUACAGAAGUGUGUCCAGUUCUGAGCACCCUAGUACAAGAGAGACAGCAAGCUACUGGAAAGAGUCCAACAAAGGACCACUAAGGGACUGGAGCAUCUCUCCUGUGAGGAAAGGCUGAGAAAGCUGGGACUGUUCAGCCUGGAGAAGAGAAGGCUCAGGAGGAUCUCAUCAGCGUAUGUAAAUACCUGAAGCAAAGAUGAAAAAAGGACAGAGCCAGGCUUCUUUCUCUAGUGCCCAUUGACAGUGCCAGAGACAAUGGACACAAACUGAAACACAGGAGACUCCCUGUGAACAUCAGGGAAUGUUUUUUUACUGUGAGGGUGACUGAGAACUGACACAAGUUGCUGAGGAAGGUUGUGGAGUUUACGUUCUUGGAGACAGUCAAAAGCUGUCUGGACAUGGCCCUAGCCAACUUUCUCUGGGUGACCUUACUUGAUCAAGGAGAUUGGAACAGGUGCCCUCCAGAGAUCCCAUCCAGCCUAAAUCAUUCUGUGAUUCUGUGAAGUGAAUUAUAGCCCUACAACUCAUUGGAGUGGACAAAGUGGUGGUUCAGUGAAUGAGUAGAAUGCUAUAAAAAACAUAAGGCUUAUUUUCCAGUGAAACCAACCACAUCUUUUCCACUGUCUUCUUCAGUGGAACCAGACUUGUUUAGUAAAGAAGACUGAUCUGUAGAGUAUUUUUUCCCCACGAAGUUGGAGAAUAAUGUGGCAGGUGAGGAUGAUGUUACUUGUAGAAGGAACAUAGUACUUCAUACAGAUGGCCAACUUUCCACCCUGGAACAUCAGAUUUUAUCUUGUUAGUAAUUUCUACUGUUGCUGCUUUCAUAGUGAAAGAUUUGGAAUAGAAAUGCUGAAGCUGGACACUUCACAUUUUGCAAUGCAUCCUGAAAAGAGAGUCCCAGCUGUUAGGCAACAGUUCCCGGCUCUGCCUUCCACAGGCACAUCUCUUCCACCAUUCCUCCUGCUCUCAAAGGUGUCAUUUGCAAAGGCAUUGGCUUCACCACAUUGAAUUAGUAUUGCAAUCUGCAGAUGAUAAAAGUCUGUAAGGGGAGAUGGAAACCCCAGAGAUAAGUGAAAAUGAUGGGAUUUCCUUUACAAGCAUUGAUUCUUUUGGAAGAGGCAGGCUGGAAAGGAGACACUGAGGCCAUGUACACACUCUGUGAGCUGCUUGAGCAAAGUCAUAGUCCAGUCUUAUCUGCACCUCCCCUGGGAAGGCAUGAUCCAAACAAUCCAUAAUCAGUCCUGAGAUUUCCUCCUCUUAUUUUUGGAGACUUGCUUCAUUGGGCAGAAAAUCACUUUGAAGUUUUCCUCACUCUCCAUGUGCUGUAUUCCUGCAGCAGUAAAAAGAUAAUUAUUCCAAACCCAGGGUGGGGCAGGGGCCUGGGUAAAGGGGCCUGGGUAAAGGUUGGAGAUGCACUCUCUACAGGAGAAGGAAGGAUAUAAACUUCUGGUCACUCUGAUCCUUUGUUUCCACUAUGUGGGUUUCACAGGCAUUCAAGAGUAUUCAGGAAAAUUAUAUUUGUUGAGUACUGUAUAAUCACAGCAAGAAGGAAGAUUGAGUGAAGCCUUUAAACAGGAGAUUUCCAAGUUCUUUAAAAGUCAAAUUUUUAUUUUCAUCCAGCUGUCUGCUGGAUUUUGUCUUUAUUUGAAUUGGAAGCAUCAGAAGUGUGAUUCCCUAUACUAUUGGGCUGCAAUUGCAGGAUUCUGUGGAAUGAAACCCUGUGGCCAAGAACAGACUGUGCUGCAUGAAGAACUGAGCAUGUUGACAGUUCUCACAAAUGAAAAAAUUGUGAUUGAAUUCCAGUCAGGUGGUGCAUGGCUUAGGUAACAUUUUCAAAGCAUGCUUUGAUCAGAAACUUACAGGCUUUCAGCAGGAGUGAACUUAAGAUUUAUACAGUUAAAAACCAAAUCAUUAGUCCUCUCCCAAGAUAAAUGGCAAAAAGGAAAAAUAUCAACCUCCUGACAUUUUGGGCAAUAUUUUGCCCUUGAGUUACUGUCCAAGCGUGUUCCUCCUGCAUCUCUGAGAGCACCAACUGGCACAUCAGAAAGUGCACAUUAUGGAUUUUCCCUUCACAUAAGCCUCUUUUCCACUUGAUCACAAAGGGAGGUUUAAGAAUUAUAAUGCCACACAAGAGAAAAGGGCAUCCUGUCAUCAGCACCUGGAAACUGAAUGUAGGCAAGGGAGAGCAUGCACACAAGGAAAUUGAGGGGGGUAUAUAAUACAUGGUCAUUUACAGCCUAAAGGUUCAAUAUAGCCCCCUAUGUUUUCAACAGAAGCUGUUUCGAAUUAUGUGAAUUAAAAUGACAUAAAUAAUCCAAAACAGAUGCUAAAAAAACUAAAAAAGCCUUAAUUUAAUAAUGGACAGAUAACAGAUUGUAUUGUCAAUGUGAUUAAAUAAAAUGCUGCUUGCUUGCA